UAUAAUUUUAAAAAAAGCCUUGUUUUAUUUAGAAAAUCACAGUCAAAUUUUGUGCUGAAGGAUGAAUAGCAUUUCCAGAAGUAAUGUUUUCAACUUGCAAUUUCUUUUCAUAUGAUUUUGGAGGGAAAAAAAUAUACAUAAAUAAGAAACCACACAAAGAUCAUCUCAGACAAUGAGAGGCAAAAUAUAGGACAUUCCUCAGUUUGUUGGAUGAGCCUGUUUGUUGGCCUGCAUCCUUCCUGAGGCUGCUAGCUUCAUAAGAGAAGGGACAGCAUCUGUUUUGCCUCUAUUGUUCCAUCACUGCCAAGUCUAGUGCCUGGUUUAUAAUGAACUCACAGCACAAUUUCCUAACAUGAGUAUUGCAUCACAGUCUUGCUUUGUUCUCCCCUUUUGUCUGACAGCUGAGGAGCAGAGCUGCCACAGGCUUGCUGUGCAGGGCGUUGAAGGUGAAAGCUGAGAGGGAGACGAGCUGCUUCCCUGCUUGAGAAAUAUUAUAUUAAUUUUUCAUGGGGUUUUACAUCUCAUAAUAAGCUACUUGUGUGAUGAUCCAUUUUCAUUUUUCAUUAGGAUGUCCUCUGAAUUCCCUUUUUGCUCCUGAUAGGGUUUCACACAUUGUUAAAAAUCUCCAUGGACUAAUUUUGCAACCCCCUGGAUCAUAGUCAGCUCUUCACUGUAGGGUCUUUAUGUCCACAAGUGGACCCUUCAGGUAUGAGAGGCUUCAGUUUUAAUGGACUCCUAAGACAUUAGCUCUCUCACUGUCCACCUUUAUCUCUGCUGUUUGCUCCGGCUCUGCAGCUCCUCUCAGCAGCCGGCUCCCACGCACAGCUGCACAGCCAGUCUGCAAGGUAAGCUCUCCCUUACAGUUUUAGCAGCUCAAUUCUUUCCCUCUGGGCACAAGCUGAUUCCUGGCUUCCCACUGCCCCCCUUCAAGGUGACCAGCUCUUCCUUACACUGGUCAGUAGUGCUGAGAGGUGACAGCGUGCUGGCAGUCCUCACAGCCCUCGCUCGCUCUUGGCGCCUCCUCUGCCUGGGCUCUCACUUUGGCAGCACUUGAGGAGCCCUUCAGCCCACCGCUGCACUGUGGGAGCCCCUUUUUGUGCUGGCCAAGGCCGGAGCAGGCUCCCUCAGCUUGCAGGGAGGUGUGGAGGGAGAGGCAAGAGCGGGAACCCGGGCUGCGCGCGCGCUUGCGGGCCAGCUGGAGUUUCCGGUGGGCGUGGGCUUGGCGGGCCCCGCACUCGGAGCAGCCGGCGGGCCCUACCGGCCCCGGGCAAUGAGGGGCUUAGCACCCGGGC
rnacentral:lncRNA from 1 species